rnacentral:misc_RNA from 1 species
GAAAUGCGAUAAGUAAUGUGAAUUGCAGAAUUCAGUGAAUCAUCGAAUCUUUGAACGCACCUUGCGCUCCUUGGUAUUCCUUGGAGCAUGUCUGUUUGAGUAUCAUGAAAUCUUCAAAGUAAAUCUUUUGUUAACUCAAUUGGCUUCUACUUUGGUAUUGGAGGUCUUUGCAGCUUCACACCUGCUCCUCUUUGUUCAUUAGCUGGAUCUCAGUGUUAUGCUUGGUUCCACUCGGCGUGAUAAGUUAUCUAUCGCUGAGGACACUGUAAAAGGUGGCCAAGGUAAAUGCAGAUGAACCGCUUCUAAUAGUCCAUUGACUUGGACAAUACUUUUAUGAUCUGAUCUCAAAUCAGGUAGGACUACCCGCUGAACUUAAGC